GAUGAACGCUGGCGGCGUGCCUAAUACAUGCAAGUCGAGCGAACAGACGAGUAGCUUGCUCCUCUGACGUUAGCGGCGGACGGGUGAGUAACACGUGGAUAACCUACCUAUAAGACUGGGAUAACUUCGGGAAACCGGAGCUCAUACCGGAUAAUAUAUUGAACCGCAUGGUUCAAUAGUGAAAGACGGUUUUGCUGUCACUUAUAGAUGGAUCCGCGCCGCAUUAGCUAGUUGGUAAGGUAACGGCUUACCAAGGCAACGAUGCGUAGCCGACCUGAGAGGGUGAUCGGCCACACUGGAACUGAGACACGGUCCAGACUCCUACGGGAGGCAGCAGUAGGGAAUCUUCCGCAAUGGGCGAAAGCCUGACGGAGCAACGCCGCGUGAGUGAUGAAGGUCUUCGGAUCGUAAAACUCUGUUAUUAGGGAAGAACAAAUUUGUAAGUAACUAUGCACGUCUUGACGGUACCUAAUCAGAAAGCCACGGCUAACUACGUG
rnacentral:rRNA from 1 species